AUUUUUCCUUUGGGUGGGGGAUGUGUGUGAUUAAUUAUCAAUAUACAGUAGAUAUUCAAUAUUUUAAAGGAAUACAACGCAUCAUUUUUACACGAGAACUCUAGAACUUUAAAUAUGAAUAUCAUGGAUGCCAACUCUAAAUGAAUGUAAACAACAAAGGUACUGUAUCAGAUACUGAUCAUAAUGAGCCUCACCUAAAACCGGCCUGAAACUGAACUAACUGAAACUCGAUGUUAAGCCGCUUGUAACGUUGAGCAAGUCCUGUCAAGAGAGUAAAGCAACCUACUUGGCACCAGGCCAUUGCUGGCAACAGAAGCCAGGAGGUGUUGUCAUCGGCUCGUCGACAGAAGAACCAGUGAGGCUGCACUUCUUUAUAAGGAGCUGGGACCGACUCCAUGUCAAGCAUCUCAAAGGAGGACGUGGAACAAGGAGAGGCUUCAUCCACCGCAGGCGACACCUGGAGAAAAAAUAUCCUCAAUCAAUAAACCUUUUUCUUGAAUGCUA